GAAUAUGUGGCUAUUUAUUGAUGAAUUAUUUUUAAUCUCAGAGUUGUCGAUUGUACCUUUAAGAAAAACAUAUUUUCCUACAAUAAAGCCCCUAAUUUUAUUUGCUAAAAUCAGAGUUCUAGUUCAGAUUUUGUUUUGUGUUCUUACUCUGGAGGCACAAAUGGAGUAACACCAGUAUGUUUAUGUUGGAGAGGAGUUUUGUGUUGCCUUUCAAACUUGAAUCCAAUAGAACUACAGACUUAAACAAUAAAUAUGAAUGGGAGAUAAGGAAAAUCAAAGACAAAAAAAAAGAAAUGGACUUAAUAAAAGAUUUUUGUACAUAAAUACUUCUUCUGACCCCAAGACAAAACCGGGAAAGAUGAAGCAUAUUAAGAUAAUGUAGGUGACUCUAUUAGUAAUCAGCUUGAGUAUUUAUAUGAAGGUGUAUGGGAGCUCCCGGCCGCCCCUGAAUUUAUCUAGGCAUUUGCUUACGCUCCACAGAAGGCAGUGGGGCUGACCAGGGAGGGAGGGGAAGGCGGCCACACUGGGGGCAGACUGGAAGUGGGUUGUAAUGAGUGUCUGCGUGCAGAUAGGUAUUCGCUUUGAGAUGGCAAAACCACAUUACAGAAAUGUGGGGAAAAGCUACUCUUCACUUCGCCACCGUACACAGCUGUUCCCAUCACUUUCGAUCGUUUAGUUUUAGUGUUUUCAUUUCCAUUUUAAACAAAACUGUCAUCAUGUUAUGCAUAGAAUUUGUAAUUUUCCAGUUAAUAUCCGAGGCUUUUUUCUUUUUUUCUUUUAAGUUCUGGGGUACGUGUGCAGGAUGUGCAGGUUGUUACAUAGGUAAAUGUGUGCCAUGAUGUGUUGCUGCACCCAUCAGCCCAUCACUUAGGCGUAAGCCCGGCAUGUGUGAGCUAUUUAUCCUGCUGCUCUAUCAGCCUUUUUUCUUGUUGUGGUUUUUCGAAUCACAGCGUCUAAUGGCUGCAGAGUUGAGAGCGUGCUGAAAUCUUUCCUGACCUUGACUCAGGCUGGUCACCCAGCCCCCGCACUAGCCCGGCCCCUCACUCCUUGUGCCUGGUCUUCCCUCUCUCCCAGGCUCCUCUUCUCAGCCUUCAGAGCCCGCGGAGCACAUGGGGUCCAGGGCAGGAGUAGAGGGAGCCUCGCUGCGUCGCUCCUGGGCCCGGAGGUGCCCUGGCGGGGGGCCGCCACUGCCCAGGCUAGCCAUUCUGCAGAGGGAUGCGCCAACAUUUGGAGCCU
rnacentral:lncRNA from 10 species